ACCAAUCCCUGAUUCUCUCGCGCGCUCCACAAAGAAACGAGCAAGAGGAGAUCUAGGGUUAGGGUUUUCACCUUACUGAAGAAGAAAAUGGGCUCAUCCGUUUGUGUCCGAGUCCAAUUGCGAACCUCAACGACCUUAUCUCAAAGCUCAUGCAGUGCAAGCCAUUCGCAGAGCACCAGUUGAGCCAGCCACUAGGAGAGGAGAACCAGAUGUGAUCCUGUAGGAUGACUGAUUAUUUUCUAUGAAGCAGCUGCUCGUCAUGUGCUUUCCCAGUGACUUCAGAUCAUUUUCUUUGAAGCAGCUGCUCGCCAUGUGCUUUCCCAGCAACUUCAUCUCUCUUGCUCACACAUGAUGGUUGCGAAAUUAAAUUCCUCUGAUGGUUGUGGGAGCUGAGACCAUGUAAAAAAAAAAAUGUUCAUAGCUUGAUCUAUCUUACAUGUCUUCUUGCAUGACUCCUUUCUGGGGGAGUUCAUUUAGCUGGUCUUCAUUUUGCUCUCCCACCCUCCUUUUUGGAACUAUGGAAGGAUGUAUAUGAUCUUACAUUUAAGAAUCAGAAUAGAUGAUUUCAUACAAUCUCUGAUUCUAUAUUUUGUAGGCAUUUUUCUACUUCUUCCUCAUUACCCUCAAACAAGACUAGGUUCCGAUGAGUAUUUGUAGUUGGAAUGUACUCAUCUUCAGAUCCGGGGGCAAGAUCAUUGGGUUCCACAGCCGAUAUUUGAUUCCAUAAUGCAAUUGGAGUUUACUCGACUGCAUCCUACCUCAUAUACUACGUCGCCUUAUAAGUUCCAAAGGCUAAAUACAUGAGAGAAGUUAUUUCAAA